AUUGAACGCUGGCGGCAGGCCUAACACAUGCAAGUCGAGCGGAUGAAGGGAACUUGCUCCUGGAUUCAGCGGCGGACGGGUGAGUAAUGCCUAGGAAUCUGCCUGGUAGUGGGGGAUAACGUCCGGAAACGGGCGCUAAUACCGCAUACGUCCUGAGGGAGAAAGUGGGGGAUCUUCGGACCUCACGCUAUCAGAUGAGCCUAGGUCGGAUUAGCUAGUUGGUGGGGUAAAGGCCUACCAAGGCGACGAUCCGUAACUGGUCUGAGAGGAUGAUCAGUCAAACUGGAACUGAGACACGGUCAAGACUCCUACGGGAGGCAGCAGUGGGGAAUAUUGGACAAUGGGCGAAAGCCUGAUCCAGCCAUGCCGCGUGUGUGAAGAAGGUCUUCGGAUUGUAAAGCACUUUAAGUUGGGAGGAAGGGAAGUAAGUUAAUACCUUGCUGUUUUGACGUUACCAAAAGAAUAAGCACCGGCUAACUUCGUG
rnacentral:rRNA from 1 species